CGUUGAAGAGAGAGGCAGUCGUCGCCGCCCUAGACCUGCCGACCUCGAUUAGACACAUCAAUCCUUCUGGAGUUUGAGGUACCUAACAUGGAUCUGAACUCAGGUUCUCUGGUACAACUUUGCAAAGCACUGUUAACUGAAGAGCCAUCUCUCCAGGCACUCCAAGCACCUCCUGGAAGAGCUCAUGGAGCCCUGAGAUCUCAUCUUAGCAAGUAUAAUGAAGCAGAAAGAUAGAGGUUUCUGUCUGUCUAAAUUUCAUGGCACUGAAUGGAGUUCUCCUGUAUCCAUUUGAAACUUAAAUUUUACUCUGAAGGAUGUUAUCCAUUUUAUAUAGUAGCAGAAUUACAAAUUAGUUAUAUAAUGUAAGGAGAGGGCACUGAUCAGUUGUGAUUUUCAUGUCAUUUAUUUUCUAUGUGGAAUUUAAACAAAAACCUCAAAUAUUGCUCGGACUUGCAUUAGUCCAGGAGAGAAUAAGAGGCAUGAGAGAUGAGUCCCAUGUAGGACUGUAGGACACCACAGUGCCCACAUCAUCUUUGAAAUGGGAUAUGUCAUUCAGAGGGAGGCAGAAAUGAAUUUUUACUAACUGGGCUCAUAUAUUUGCAUUUUCCUAGUUCUACUUUUGUAUCAAGUGCAAGGUUAAUUAUUUACCAGGGGAUCAAUUUAGUCAUCUGGCUUUUUUCAUUCACAAGUAUAAGUUUUACUUUCUGGUAAAAAUGUAUUAAUUUCUAAAACAAAAUAUGCAAUAAUAAAUUGUACUUUUUGAUAGUGGUAUAAUUUUAUGUAACAGUUUCAAAUUAAUUGAUAGUGUUUGUCCCAGAGAAAUAAAUUGAAGGAGAAUGUUACUAAGCAUUUGAUGUUAACCUUGAGCCUAACAAUUUCAAGUCCCUGCUAUGGCUAUUAAAAAAUAUUUAUUGAA